UACGUAGGGUGCAAGCGUUGUCCAGAAUUAUUGGGCGUAAAGAGCUCGUAGGCGGCUUGUCGCGUCGUCUGUGAAAUCCCGCGGCUCAACCGCGGGUCUGCAGUCGAUACGGGCAUGACUGGAGUUCGGCAGGGGAGACUGGAAUUCCUGGUGUAGCGGUGAAAUGCGCAGAUAUCAGGAGGAACACCGGUGGCGAAGGCGGGUCUCUGGGCCGAUACUGACGCUGAGGAGCGAAAGCGUGGGGAGCGAACAGG
rnacentral:rRNA from 1 species